rnacentral:rRNA from 1 species
GACGAACGCUGGCGGCGUGCUUAACACAUGCAAGUCGAACGGAAAGGCCCUGCUUUUGUGGGGUGCUCGAGUGGCGAACGGGUGAGUAACACGUGAGUAACCUGCCCUUGACUUUGGGAUAACUUCAGGAAACUGGGGCUAAUACCGGAUAGGAGCUCCUGCUGCAUGGUGGGGGUUGGAAAGUUUCGGCGGUUGGGGAUGGACUCGCGGCUUAUCAGCUUGUUGGUGGGGUAGUGGCUUACCAAGGCUUUGACGGGUAGCCGGCCUGAGAGGGUGACCGGCCACAUUGGGACUGAGAUACGGCGCAGACUCCAACGGGAGGCAGCAGUAGGGAAUAUUGCACAAUGGGCGGAAGCCUGAUGCAGCAACGCCGCGUGCGGGAUGACGGCCUUCGGGUUGUAAACCGCUUUCGCCUGUGACGAAGCGUGAGUGACGGUAAUGGGUAAAGAAGCACCGGCUAACUACGUG